UCCCUGAGACCCUAACUUGUGAGCUCUUUCAAUUAAAAUCACGGGUUAGGCUCUUGGGACCU
rnacentral:pre_miRNA from 1 species